rnacentral:misc_RNA from 1 species
UCCAGAGUGGAAGAGCUCUGCUAA